GAAGUGCUCCUCCCCUGCACUCUGACUGGUUGCUUUAAAAGCCAAUCGUGGUGGGGGCGGCGGAACCUCCAGCAAGGAGUGGAGUCACUUUAUUUUGAAUGUGCUUGUCCUUCCAUCACUCCAUCUGCAAUGCUUUUUUUUUUUUUUCAACACAAUGUUUUUAGUCGUUUUUCUAGAACCUGACCGGUUUCAAGUUGGCAUGCAAAAAUGUCAAAAUUUAGGCCGAUGGAUGUCAAGGUAAUUGGGCAGUGGGCCGCUAAAACCAUUGGCGAGAUCGUGUCGCUCAACCUGUCAGAACGUUUCACUUGCAUUACAUACCGCCGACCGCUAUUGUUACACAAGUUUGGAAGGAAGCCGUAAUUGCUUCCUGUACUAUGUUCAGUGGAGGUGAACCGGGUUGAUGAGUGGCUUUACAUAGAUCGGAUUCCAUCCAGAUCCUAUUUGAGAACUUGUAAAAUUACUCCGAUACUACGAUACUUGAUACUUGAUGCUGAAUCCUUAGUUGCAAGCAAAUGGACUUGAAUUGCAGUGCAUUUUCUAGUGUGUGUGUGUGUGUCCAAACAAUACAAUCCUGGUUUUCCUCUGCUGUCAGGAGUGCGUUGCGUAAGGGGGAUGACCUCAGCUCCAGGCCGCGAUACCAUCAUUCGGCCUGCCUGUCUGACGUCCCUCGACAUGUGCGCUGCAUAUGUACGCGCGGAUAUGUGCAGGCUUAACUGUCAUGCUGCGGUGCUGCAUUCUCCUGUGGUCAUCAUAAGAAGUGAGGAACGGUGGAUCCAAGCCUGACUGCCAGUAGCGAAAAUGUAUGGAUGAAAAGAGGAAUCUGACAGCAGAAGACUUGAGGAGAAAGUACUCAAAGUGAGAGUGAAAGUAGCCCGAUUUGGCUUGAGUUUACGACCUGUUGCAACCCGCCAAGCUGGCGGGCCCGAUUACCGGCAACCUCAAUAACUUGGGGCCACGCUGUCCUCCAGUUGCACUAAUAGCCGAUGGGACUGAUUGAGCUUUGUCAGGCAGAUGCCUUCCAGUGAAACCUUGUUGCUUGUCAGAGUGAUGAGAGAGAAUGGAAUAAAUCAGGCCUACUGACAAGUCAUUCGGAGUGAGGGGCUGAUGGAAGGGCUGGGAUUGGCUCCAGAUCACCCGCGUCUCUAAUGAAGAUCAG